UGGGGAAUUUUGGACAAUGGGCGAAAGCCUGAUCCAGCAAUGCCGCGUGUGUGAAGAAGGCCUUCGGGUUGUAAAGCACUUUUGUCCGGAAAGAAAUCCUUGGCUCUAAUACAGUCGGGGGAUGACGGUACCGGAAGAAUAAGCACCGGCUAACUACGUGCCAGCAGCCGCGGUAAUACGUAGGGUGCAAGCGUUAAUCGGAAUUACUGGGCGUAAAGCGUGCGCAGGCGGUUUGCUAAGACCGAUGUGAAAUCCCCGGGCUAACCUGGGAACUGCAUUGGUGACUGGCAGGCUAGAGUAUGGCAGAGGGGGGUUAGAAUCCCACGUGUAGCAGUGAAAUGCGUAGAGAUGUGGAGGAAUACCGAUGGCGAAGGCAGCCCCCUGGGCCAAUACUGACGCUCAUGCACGAAAGCGUGGGGAGCAAACAGGAUUAGAUACCCUGGUAGUCCACGCCCUAAACGAUGUCAACUAGUUGUUGGGGA
rnacentral:rRNA from 1 species